rnacentral:rRNA from 1 species
GUAACGGCGAGUGAAGCGGUAACAGCUCAAAUUUGAAAUCUGGCUCCUCGGGGCCCGAAUUGUAAUUUGUAGAAGAUGCUUUGGGUCUGGGCCUGGCCUAAGUUCCUUGGAACAGGACGUCGUAGAGGGUGAGAAUCCCGUAUGCGGCUGGCGCCCGUGCCCGUGUAAAGCUCUUUCAACGAGUCGAGUUGUUUGGGAAUGCAGCUCUAAAUGGGUGGUAAAUUUCAUCUAAAGCUAAAUAUUGGCCAGAGACCGAUAGCGCACAAGUAGAGUGAUCGAAAGAUGAAAAGCACUUUGGAAAGAGAGUUAAACAGUACGUGAAAUUGUUGAAAGGGAAGCGCUGGCAACCAGACUUGGGCGCUGUUGAUCCGCUAGGGUUCUCUCUAGGGCACUCGGCAGUGCGCAGGCCAGCAUCGGUUUGGGGGGUUGGAGAAUGGCUGGUGGAAUGUGGCUGUCUUUGGGCAGUGUUAUAGCCACCGGUGGCAUGCAGCCUCCCCGGACCGAGGACCGCGCUUCGGCUAGGAUGCUGGCGUAAUGGUUGUCAGCGACCCGUCUUGAAACACGGACCAAGGAGUCUAACAUCUAUGCGAGUGUUUGGGUGUUAAACCCAUACGCGGAAUGAAAGUGAACGUAGGUGAGAACCCGCAAGGGUGCAUCAUCGACCGAUCCUGAUGUCUUCGGAUGGAUUUGAGUAAGAGCAUAGCUGUUGGGACCCGAAAGAUGGUGAACUAUGCCUGAAUAGGGUGAAGCCAGAGGAAACUCUGGUGGAGGCUCGCAGCGGUUCUGACGUGCAAAUCGAUCGUCAAAUUUGGGUAUA